rnacentral:rRNA from 1 species
GAUGAACGCUGGCGGCGUGCCUAAUACAUGCAAGUCGAGCGAACAGACGAGGAGCUUGCUCCUCUGACGUUAGCGGCGGACGGGUGAGUAACACGUGGAUAACCUACCUAUAAGACUGGGAUAACUUCGGGAAACCGGAGCUAAUACCGGAUAAUAUAUUGAACCGCAUGGUUCAAUAGUGAAAGACGGUUUUGCUGUCACUUAUAGAUGGAUCCGCGCCGCAUUAGCUAGUUGGUAAGGUAACGGCUUACCACGGCAACGAUGCGUAGCCGACCUGAGAGGGGGAUCGGCCACACUGGAACUGAGACACGGUCCAGACUCCUACGGGAGGCAGCAGUAGGGAAUCUUCCGCAAUGGGCGAAAGCCUGACGGAGCAACGCCGCGUGAGUGAUGAAGGUCUUCGGAUCGUAAAACUCUGUUAUUAGGGAAGAACAAAUGUGUAAGUAACUAUGCACGUCUUGACGGUACCUAAUCAGAAAGCCACGGCUAACUACGUG